CCUACGGGAGGCAGCCGUGAGGAAUAUUGGUCAAUGGACGAGAGUCUGAACCAGCCAAGUAGCGUGAAGGAUGACUGCCCUAUGGGUUGUAAACUUCUUUUAUAUGGGAAUAAAACGUUCCACGUGUGGGAUUUUGUAUGUACCAUAUGAAUAAGGAUCGGCUAACUCCGUGCCAGCAGCCGCGGUAAUACGGAGGAUCCGAGCGUUAUCCGGAUUUAUUGGGUUUAAAGGGAGCGUAGGUGGAUUGUUAAGUCAGUUGUGAAAGUUUGCGGCUCAACCGUAAAAUUGCAGUUGAAACUGGCAGUCUUGAGUACAGUAGAGGUGGGCGGAAUUCGUGGUGUAGCGGUGAAAUGCUUAGAUAUCACGAAGAACUCCGAUUGCGAAGGCAGUUCACUGGACUGCAACUGACACUGAGGCUCGAAAGUGUGGGUAUCAAACAGGAUUAGAUACCCGUGUAGUC
rnacentral:rRNA from 1 species